GGGGCGGUCCUGGAAAAAGUGGGGCUCUAAACAAAUGAAAAAAUGGGGGCCCUUCUAACAUAACUGAAAUUUUAAAAUUCGUGAGCAAGAAUUUUUUUUUUAAGCAAAACAGAAAAAAAAAACUAAUUCUCAAACAAAAAGCUAAGAAAACUGUAAAUGUGGGAAGAGAAAAGAUUUAUUUUAUGGGCCUUUUAAUAAUGGGGGCCCCAGGCCCAUGUUUCAAAUGGCUCUCCUCAGGGACGCCCCUGCAUAAGGAUAUGGUAAAUAUAUUGAAAAUUGUGUUAAAAGCUCAAAGUAAACAUACCGAAACGUUAGCCAACUUGUAUACCGUGUCAUAAUGAUAAAAUAGACGUAUGAUUAUGCAUGUAUGUUAUAUGUAUAAGAAAGCGUGGAGAUAAAAGCAUAUAAUAAUGUGAAUCACGAAAUAGAACAAGGGUUUGGGACCUGCACUCUGAUUUGUUUGAAGGAGACGGGCCAUAGCGACAGGUUCUGCAAUCGCAGCUCACACUACAACACCUCAUUUUAAUUUUUAUAUUCAUUUGGUCCUACUUCAUUGAUUUAUACCCUUGUAUAUAUUUUACAAUUUUCAUUUUGCCAUCAAUAUUGCUAUAAUUGCUCAAUUAAUUACUAAUCAUAUGCGUCCCAUUAAUGUCUUGUGUUGCAUGUUGAAUUUGUGUUUAUUCUAGGUUUUUAUUUAAUAGUCGGCAUUUAGGUUCAUUAUAUCUUUUUAUUUCUAAUAUAGACUUCAACUGACCUGAGAACUUAUAGUAAAACUUAUCUAGUUUAUAGUUCGUGUAUGCUUUGGAAGUUUAGUAUAUUUUCACGUGUUUUACCUAGAAAUUGAUUGAUAAGUUUUUGGAUGGCUUAUUUAUAAGGUGAUCAAUACAGUGUUUUAGCAUAUAUAAAUAUAGUUGUUGUUCUUACAGAGAUAGCUACUGUUAACAUAUGGUCAAUAAUUUAUCAACUAUAGUUGAAGUAUUUGGAUAAAAUCAAUAUACUAAAAGUCAAAAACACGAGAGUUAUUUUCUAAAUUGCAAACUGAAACUCAAGGCAGCCUGAUACUGAAAUAUGAUAUCUAUGGAUCUAAUAAUUUAGUCUAUAUCCAUUUUCCAAAAAGAAACUAUUAAACCAUUUUGAAGCAUAUAUAUGAUAUCAAAACCCCAAUUCUAAACCCAUAGCUGUGUGACACUCAAAAGUAUACACGUAUACGAGAGAAUAUAUAUUUUAAUGAUUUUCUCAAUCUAGAAUGUUUUUUUUUCGUUCACGGCAUUGUAUGAAUUAUUAAUUUGCUUAACCUUCAUAGACUUUGCAUCUGUGAGACAGAUUCAUGUACAACAAAUUUGAGAAUCCGCCCUGGUCACUUUUUGCUGUUUGUUGUUUACUUCCUUCUCAUCCCCCACUUCCUUGUUUUUCGAAGCUAAUGAUGUUCUAAUUUUUCAGUGCAUGUGAUUUUUUUGCCAACAAACCUUGACUAGUAAAAACGUCUACGCACUUAUAAUAUUAUUGUAAAAGUAAAGUUAGUGUGUGAUAGUCUAUACUAAAUUUGAUGUAGUUCAAUCAAUUCGUCAAAAAAGUGAAUAAUUCAAGUCAUUUCUAACUAAUGACUAAGGACUUCUUUUAACAUAUCUCAAAACGACCUUUGUUAUUUAAAUGUGUAAACGUCGAAACUAUUUGAAUGGCUUACACUUUUAUCAGUCGAUGACAGCAUUUGCAUGUGGCAUAGUAAUAAAAAUACAUGUAUUCUAUUUAUACUGUUUCCAGUUUGAAAAUAACAACGGAAUUUACGUUUGCAUUUAGAAACUAAUAGGAUGAAGACAUGUGCCAAAUACAACACGUUCGUUUAGUGAAUAGUGAUAUUUAUUGUUUAUUUACAUUUACAUUUAUUAAUAGAUUAUAAUAAUUAAACAUAACAUGAAAACUCCUGCAAACAAUCAUGACCUAGAUCAUUUUUUGAGCAACACUCGGAUUGGCCUGAAGAGAAAAUUUCCAAAAUCCACUUGCUAAAUAUGGAGCAAGCCGAGCAGCAGCCUUUAACCAUUAACCAAACUGUGCUUUUAAAGGUACGUGCAAAAUCAAGAACGGUAUGGAGAGAGUAAAAUUUUGAGAUAUAUAGUGCAGCAUGGGAUGUUAAAUCUAUGCACUUAGUUUUUGUUUAUGUGCAUUGAACGUACGACCAGUGAAUAACCUAUUAGACUUAAAAGCCUUUCCGUAAUUCAACUCCACUUAUGAUUUACCUAAAUACUUAACUAAUCUGAAGGUUUUAUAAAACAAAAAAGAAACAAAAUCGUUAAUCAUAUGCAAUUCUAUAACGAUCAUUAUUUUCCCCGCAUAAACAUUUCGACCACUCUCCUUUUUCCCUUCGAAUUACAAUGAAAGAAAAAGAAGAAUAUGGAAGUCAAAAGAAGAAAUAUUUAAAAUAUAAAGGUCAGAAAGCUAUAGAGAAUGAUAAUAUUAUUGUAUAAUUAUUGUUUUGUGGGACACAUUGACCUCUUCGCCCUUUCUCCAUGUUGGGUGCAAGCUGUAUUCCUUUCCCUUCUUCUUUUACCAAUACAAAUAUAUUUUGGUUUUUAUUUUAGUAAUUAGACCUUUUUUCUUCAAUAAAAGUAUAAAACCAUCGAUUUUAACACUUACUAUCAGUAAAAGAUGAAUUAUUCACUGGAGAAGAAUGCUAUUGAAGAUAAAAACAUAAAGAAGACAACAAAUAAUCUAUCUUCUUCUCUUCUGUUCGUUUUAUUUUUGUUUCAGAAAAAAAUAAUUGAAGUCAAGUCAUUAUAUGGGUUCACGAGAUGCGUAUGGAACCAUGAUAUUGACAACAUACCUUGAAGACGAGAAGACCAAUAGAAGAGACAAAAAAGACAGAAAACACAUUCUCCAUAAAUAAUUAUCUCACAAAGAUUUAUUUGGUCUCCCAUUUUGAAAACCUCCCGCUUCCCACAUACAUACACGAUAUACAUCCUUUCUCGUUGUUCAUUCGUUUUGUAGCUACAUGCACUGCUCCAGAUAAUUCAAUAUGUAUAUCUUAAACUUUUAUUAUUGUGCUUAUGCAUGCAUGUGUAGCUGAAUAUUAGGGACCGUAUCUUUUGUUUCAGACAAUGCUAAUGUUAAACGUAUAUGUAAUAUAGGAUUGCAUAAACGAGAGGAGUUCAUAUGUUCUGAUGACGUGUGGCUGAGCGUUAAGAAACGAUACACUUAAACACAAUCCCCCCCCCCCUAAAUAAUGAAAUGAAUUGGAAAAACUAAAGGAAAACUAAAUAAAGAAAGAAAGAAAGAAAGAAAGAAAGGAAAACGAAAAUUUGUGUCACACGUGAAAAAAGUAGAGAUUUAACAAUCUUAUUUUGUUGGGAAAAGUUCAAAGAGAAAUAAAAUUGGAAAAAGAAAAAGUGAAAAAGAAGUAGAGAAGGUUUCACCACCUAAAGCUUGACGACAGUUGAAACAAAAUAUAAUUAAGUGGCAACAACGUAUUAUCCAUAUAUAAGCUUGUUCGCGAUACAAAAGGAAACUAUGGUAGACGAUUAUUUCAUUUUGUCAUUAAAACUAAGUUGUAUGACAAUAUUGCUAAUGUAAAACUACAGUUUAUUCAACAACUUUUUUAUAACAAAAGUAUUUCUAUUUAACAAAGCAAAAGCUAUAUUUCAUUUUGUCAUAUAUUGGUUUCUACUUUUUUUUUUUGAGCAUUCCCUAAAUAAAAAAGAGAAAUUUCGGUCGAUUCAUUUGACCAUACCAUAUAUAUUGGUUUCUACUUUCUACAAAUAAUUUUGCUUAUCGACAUUCUUGUAUGCGCAAAAUAGUGAAUGAUGAAAGCUUAUCAUCCCAGGUGCUCAGAGUGGAAGCAGGUUGCUUUGGUUCUUGUGUUAUUGCUGCACCAGAUUUUGUCGUCCAACACCACUCAACGAUUUUAAUAAGACUUGUUUGCUAAUUUCUGAGUUACUGACCUCCAAAUAAAAGAGACUUGUUUGCGAAUUAUUAUUCACUUAUAAUUUAUCUCUUUAGCUGAUUUCGAAGGACUGUCUUACACAUCUGCUGAUUUUUAUCUCUUUAAAAUAUGAAAUACAUUAUAGGUCAAUUUUUUUGUAAGACUAUGUGAAGCUGAUUAGUGAUUAUUAAUUAUUGUAUAAUCCUGUUAAUAUGUUUUGGAGUAGUUGAUAGUAUACUAGUGCGCCUAGCAGAAGUAGAGCAGGUUUCAAAUUGAAAAGACUUCUCGAAACAAUCUAAAUCAAUAAUACUGUUUCAUUUUCAAUUUUUGUUUUUCUUCUCAUUUUCGAAAACAAUUAUAUUUAAAGACUGACCACAGAAAAGAAGAAUACUCGGCCCUUCUCAACAAGUCAAAGCCUAAAACGCUAAAUCCUUUAUUUUUAAUCAUAAACGAAACAGUCUCAUUCCAUAUUAAACAUUUUGACAUCUCAUUUGUAUAAUUUGUAUUAUACACACCAUUCUGGACAAAAAUAAAAAAUCUCCCUUUUAACAAAAGUGUCAUUUUGACACUUUUACGUAAAUUAAAAAUAAUUAAAAAUAAAUUUAUGUGUUUACUAAUUGCAUCUAUUUAAUUAAUAAUAUUCGUGAUAAAUAAAAUUAUUAAUAAGAUAAAUGUAUUUUAUAAAUUGCAUUAAAAGUGUAAAAAGAAAAAUGACAUUUUGAUGAAAUAUAAAAUAUACAAUAUAUUUAUAUAUGUGUAUAUAUAUCGUCUUAACAUCUUGUUGUGUCCAAAAAACAUUUUUAUUUAGAUACUUUAUUCGGUUAAGUUCUUAUUUAAACACCGCUAUUUUCAAACUUCCAAACCAUCUUCCUAUGCAGUAUUCUCCAUCUUAAUACUACUUAAUUUGCUAUUUAUAAACUUUUUCUUGAUCGAAGUGUAUACUAUAUCUCAACCCUAUGCAUCCUAAUCGUAUUUAGAUUGUUAAACACAUUAAAUAUAAAACGACCGGAGAUUAAGGCCCAAAGAUUGCAAUAAGCCUCAAAGUUUACGCAAAGACUUACUAAUCUCUUCAUCGCAUCCCAUGCAGUCAAAUGUCACGAAUGCCCUUCAGACAUAGGCAUCAAUCCAUAGCAAGUAAGGGCAUUCGAGACAUUUCGUAUAUGCAACGGGGAAGCAUACACGAUCGUUCUCAAGUUUAAAAAAAAAAAAA